rnacentral:rRNA from 1 species
AUUGAACGCUGGCGGCAUGCCUUACACAUGCAAGUCGAACGGCAGCACGGGUGCUUGCACCUGGUGGCGAGUGGCGAACGGGUGAGUAAUACAUCGGAACAUGUCCUGUAGUGGGGGAUAGCCCGGCGAAAGCCGGAUUAAUACCGCAUACGAUCUACGGAUGAAAGCGGGGGACCUUCGGGCCUCGCGCUAUAGGGUUGGCCGAUGGCUGAUUAGCUAGUUGGUGGGGUAAAGGCCUACCAAGGCGACGAUCAGUAGCUGGUCUGAGAGGACGACCAGCCACACUGGGACUGAGACACGGCACAGACUCCUACGGGAGGCAGCAGUGGGGAAUUUUGGACAAAGGGCGAAAGCCUGAUCCAGCAAUGCCGCGUGUGUGAAGAAGGCCUUCGGGUUGUAAAGCACUGUUGUCCGGAAAGAAAUACUUGGCUCUAAUACAGUCGGGGGAUGACGGUACCGGAAGAAUAAGCACCGGCUAACUACGUG